UACGUAGGGGGCUAGCGUUGUCCGGAAUCAUUGGGCGUAAAGAGCGUGUAGGCGGUCCGGUAAGUCCGUUGUGAAAGUCAGGGGCUCAACCCUUGAAUGCCGGCGGAUACUGUCGGGCUAGAGUCCGGAAGAGGCGAGUGGAAUUCCCGGUGUAGCGGUGAAAUGCGCAGAUAUCGGGAGGAACACCUAUGGCGAAGGCAGCUCGCUGGGACGGUACUGACGCUGAGACGCGAAGGCGUGGGGAGCGAACGGG
rnacentral:rRNA from 1 species